UAUUUUAUUGUUGCAAGUAAACAACAAAGGAGAAGGGAGGGGCAUGCCAUCCCAACCCCCAGGCAGUACAGAGUGUGAUUAUACAACUAAGGAUACAUGUGGAAGUAGCACCAGGAAACUAAAAAGAUACAGUGGUAGGGGACAAGUGCUAAAAAAAAAUAAAGGCCUUUAUUUAGUCAUGUUUCCUUCUUUAGUUUCCGUGCACUGUUAGUAACACGUAGAAUCAUCCUCGGCUGGCAACGAGUGAACACGUGAACAGCACACACUUGAGCCCAGAUUAGUUUUUUUAUCAUCUUUAUCUUCAUGGUAUGCAUUAAGGGAGAGAGACAGUGUGUAGCUGCAGGAGUGACGAUACAGCAGCAGGUGACUUGCCUCAAACAGUCAAACUCUACCUAGUGUCCCGCUCCCAUCCCUCCACACCGCACCCCUUGGCCCUCCUCUGUCUGCCCUUGAAGUACUGCGGCCUCUAUACAUUAUAUUUCUUACGGUUUCUCUACGAACACAUUCACUGACCAGCUUGAAAGAUCGGAUAAACAGCCGGGUGAGCUGCAUGCUAAUUGCCUGGGCCGGGAUUUGAACUCUGGCCUGCAGAUUCAUAGCUAGAAUGGUUCCUUAACCUUGGAUGUGAUAUUCCAUCAUGGGCGGAAGAAAGAAAAAAAAUAAGAGGAAAGGUAAUUGUUGUUGAGUACCAGUAAAAGGUGUUUGGAAAAAAAAAAAUGAUCCCAACAUGUCAUGUAUCACUGCAACUAAUUUGGCAGGAUGUAUACCACGAAAACAUACUGUAAAUUUCAAAACUUCAAGAAAAUUUCAAGGCCAUGUCUCCCAGCAAUGCCAGAGAUCAGAGACAAAACAGAUUAGACUUGUUGAAAACUAUAACCUGCAGAAUUACUUGAGUUAUGGAACUUUUUGACUGGACUAAAUCAUCCAAGGGAAAGAAAGAAUUAGAAAUAAUAUAUAGUACUAGGUCCAUUUUGGGGAUUAAUUGGUACUGUAAAAAGUGUUGCCGAAAUUAAAGUCACCAAAAUUGUGACAUUGCUUUAUAUCUAAUUUAUUCUGAGCUCAAACUAUUCCUCUUUCUUUGUUAUACAAUGAUCAAAACAGUGCUUUCAGUUAUUAUUUAUAUAAUGAUUAAUGACUACUAUACAUAGAAAACAUUAACCUCCACUCGUAUGAAGGCGCUCUUGUUCAGUGUCCUGAGUGAAAUGGAGAGAAUAUGGUCUCAAGGAGAGGAGUGAGGGGCAGAUUGCUAAUUUCUUAAUGAAAAUUAAACAACACAAGUUUAAAAUCUUAUGGCAACACUGCACUCCCAUGGCUGCUCUGGUGCUGCUAGGAUAGGGUGGAGGAAAUUUCUCCUAGUCAGUCAUGUUACCCAUUACUUUUCUUAACCUUCAUUCAAUAAGGAGCAAUAGCUAAAGCUGCACAUGGCCUUGGUGCUGAUCUCCAUCACAUCGGCCCUUGAGUCUGGUGGAUAAUAAGUUAAUAACCUAGUGCCUCUGGACACAGGACCAGUGUGACAUUCGGUUACCACAGUAUACCUUUGCUGGGUUUCCCCAGGUACCUAUUUUUUGACCAGUUCGAAAGGCACAAUGAACUGCUGGGUGGGCUGCGCUCUGACUGCCUGGGCUGGGAUUCAAACCCAGGCCCAUGGAUUCAUAGCUAGGUGUGCUAACUACUACGUAUACCCUGGAGACUCAUCCAGCACCAUGUAGCAAAAGCAUCGUGACUGAACAAAUUAAAGGACCAUAAAGGAAAAGCUCCAGUCAACUGCAGUUCAUGAUCCUCUGAUCAUACUUCAUGGGAUCAUGAACUGCAAUUGAUUGGAGAUUCUUGUUUAGCCCAUCACUUUGUCCAGUCAUGGAGAUUUUGCUGCAAUGGCUCAGGAUGCUUACAUGUCAUGCAUUUGGCCUUGGCUAGCUAAUGGCAAUGGACAGACCCAGUUAACCGAAUUUGUUUAUGCCUGUC